rnacentral:rRNA from 1 species
AAAGGGUCCGCAGGCGGGCGUAUAAGUCAGUGGUGAAAUCCUGCAGCUUAACUGCAGAACUGCCAUUGAUACUGUACGUCUUGAAUUCGGUCGAAGUGGGCGGAAUGUGUAGUGUAGCGGUGAAAUGCAUAGAUAUUACACAGAACACCGAUAGCGAAGGCAGCUCACUAGGCCUGGAUUGACGCUCAGGGACGAAAGCGUGGGGAUCAAACAGGAUUAGAUACCCUUGU